UUGAAGAUAUGACUAAAGAUCUUAAAAAGAGGAGAUUAUCCUAGGUUAUGCAGGAAAGGCACAGUGUGACCACAAGAAGAAUUGAGGAGGGUCAGAGUCAGAGAAGAUGUGAUGAAGGAAGCAGAGGUCAGAGAGAAAGCCUGGGAGAUGGUGUACUUCUGGUUUUGAAGAUGGAGAAAGAAGUCAUAAGCCAAGAAACGCUUGUCCCUUUGAUCUUCCAGAAGGAAACACCUUGGGGUUGUGUUAUCCAGCCUCUCCAGACAGCUUCUGGGCAACACUUCAGUCUGGACACUGGGUGGACUGAGCAUGUUACGGAGCACAGACUGGCAGAGUCAUGCAAAGAGGCAACAACAGCAGAGGUGGAGGACUACGUUGAACAAGCAGCUCAAGACCCAGGAGGCAUGUGGGGCCAAGUGAAUCUGGGGUGGACAUAAAUUAAGUUUGACAAAACAGAAGAUUGAGGUGGUAAAGAAACUGUUCUAGAAGAUACUGAAGAAGUCCCCAAUUUUACACCAACUGUGAAAAUGAGACCAACAUAAGGCAAUUGAUAUUAAUUCCUGUGAAUGGGCUGGAAGCGCCAUAAAAGGUAGAACUGCAUGAUCCAACUUACACCUCGCCUACCUCAUGAGGUUUCACUCUAUGUAGACUACAGAAGGGAAGAUACUUCCAGGUAAGAGGAUUUGAAUGAAUUCCCUUUCACCUCAAAUUAAUUUCCUCCCUUAAUAUUUCCUUCCUUGUACACCACAUCCAAACUCUCAGUUCCUAUCCAGAAAGCUCUGAGCUGUUUGUUUGACUUGCUUGUCUCCUGAGUUCACGACCUGUAACAAUCAUCCCCCUGUGCCAUCCCUGGAGCCCCCAAGGGCGGGCUCUGUUUACCAUUCACCUGAUCUAUGGCAAACAGCCCUCAAAUCCAGUUCCUCAAUCCAUCCCCCACAAUAUGCCACAACAGUCUUCCUAAAGAACAGCCACAAGCAUGUCUUUCUCCCAGUCACAAGUGGCAGUGAAUUCCCACUGCCCACCACAGUAAGUAUAAACUCCUCUCUCUGGCAUUUCAUCCUCCAACGCAUGAUCCCAUAUUAGCAUUGGAUUCCCUACAACUGCUCCACAAUCCAGCCAUACUGGGAUUCCUGCUAUUCCCUAAAUGCCCCCACCCCCGCACACCCUGCCGUCCAUGCAAUUUUUGCUUAGACUGUUUCAUCAGUUUUGAACCUUCUUUCUUUAUCAAGCUAUAAAAACUGUACCCAUUCCUCGAGUACCACCUUUUCUAAAUAUAUUUUCUAGUCUCCCCCAAGAGGAUAUGAUCAUUUUUCCAUCUAAACCCACUAGUAUUUCAUUCAUAUCUCUGUCAGAGCACUCGCCACAUUCCGGUCUGUAGUACAGCUCUUUCUGUGGUUCCUGAUCUUUUUUACAAGGCUGGGAGCUCCCCAGAGGUGGGAACAUUUUCUUCCUUACCUGAGUUAACAAGCAUUGCAGGCACUACAGGAAAGGAGGACACCUAUCUGUUGAAUGGACUAUGAGAAAAGGGAAAUGGGGUGUAUUCCUGGAACAGAGAAAAGCUUAGGAUCUCCCUGAAAUUGCUAUCUGGUGAGGAGCAGUGGGAAGGAUGGAUGUGCAUAUGUGGCCUGGUUUUCAAAGGCCAUUGUUGAGUACCAUGAGCAUCAACCUCUUUGGCAGUGAAACUUGUUUCCUUCACCAUCUUUAUUACAAAUUUAAUUCCUUCUUUUGUUCCUUUACCUGAGUAUUGUCUCUCUGUAUAAUGUAUAUACACACACAUCUCAGGUCUACAUUCCAAGAGUUCACUCCCUCCAGUGUCUACAGGAGUCCAAGAGUUCACUCCCUCCAGUGUCUACAGGAGUUCCUGGCAUAUGGUAAAGAGUCAAUACAUGUAUUUUGAGCCAGUGAAUGAAAUUUGUGGAUCAUAAUGCCCUAUAGAGAUUAAAUGCAGUCCUAUGUAAAGUGACUGGCACAAAGCUUGAACAUAUUAGCACUAGAAAUAUUAGCCUCCUCCCUCCCUUCUUCCCUUCCUUCCUUCUUCUAUGAAUUACUCAUGCAUCGAUCCACACAUUCAACAAAUGUGCCAGGUUUUUCUAGGCACCUGAAUAUAGGAUAGUGAACAAAAGAGGAAAAAAAAAUCCCUGCACUCAUGGAGCUUACAUUCUUUUUUGUCUUUAUGGAAGUUACAUCCUAAUGAAAGAAUGAAUGAUUCACUUUGGAUCUUCAGGGAGUCUUAAGAAUGGAGUUAUUAAGAAGAAGAGGUUGUAGCUCAAAGACAGACAUGUUGGUGGAGGCGAGGAGAGCCUGGGGGAAGGACAUCAACUCCACUACAGCAGGGCUGAGGCACAAAAUGGCUUGGGUGAGUGGCAACAAAAUCGAGGAGUGGAAACAGGAAACGAUGGGCCAGGAUGGCCCUUGGAUCUAAGUGACCUAAGAGUAAGAAGUGGCCACGAUGAUGAAGGUUUAUAAUCAUAGUAGUGCGCUGGUUGCUCUGAACAGACAGGGAAGUUAGGAGGGGAAGUCACUGAGGUUGGCAGCUUUUAGAGGAGGAGAUGAGCUACGUCCAAUUUUGGAGAUGAUACCUUUGAAGAGAGGAAAGAAAUCUAGGUAAAAAUGUUUAACUCCCAAAGUAAGGAUUUAGGGAGGAAGUGAAAACCAAACCCCGGGAUCCCUGAGUGGCUCUGUUGGUUAAGCAUCUGCCUUCGUCUCAGGUCAUGAUCCUGGGGUCCUGGGACCAAGCCCCGCAUCAGGCUCCCUGCAGAGCGGGGACCCUGCUUCUCUCUUUC